GCCAGGCGUAGUGGCGGGCGCCUGUAAUCCCAGCUACUGAGGAGGCUGAGGCAGGAGAAUUGCUUGAACCCAGGAGGCAGAGGUUGCAGUGAGCUGAGAUUGCACCACUGUACUCCAGCCUGGGUGACAGAGCAAGACUCUGUCUCAA
rnacentral:SRP_RNA from 2 species